rnacentral:rRNA from 1 species
GCGUGAGUGAUGAAGGCCCUAGGGUCGUAAAACUCUUUCGCUGGGGAAGAUAAUGACGGUACCCAGUAAAGAAACCCCGGCUAACUCCGUGCCAGCAGCCGCGGUAAUACAGAGGGGGUUAGCGUUGUUCGGAAUUACUGGGCGUAAAGCGCACGUAGGCGGAUUAGUCAGUCAGAGGUGAAAUCCCAGGGCUCAACCCUGGAACUGCCUUUGAUACUGCUAGUCUCGAGUUCGAGAGAGGUGAGUGGAAUUCCGAGUGUAGAGGUGAAAUUCGU